UUGGAGGGCAAGUCUGGUGCCAGCAGCCGCGGUAAUUCCAGCUCCAAUAGCGUAUAUUAAAGUUGUUGCAGUUAAAAAGCUCGUAGUUGAAUUUCGGGGUCAGUAGGUUAGUCAUGCCACUGGUAUGUACUGGUCUCACUGAUUCCUCCUUCCUGAUGAGCCGUAAUGCCAUUAAUUUGGUGUUGCGAGGAAUCUGGACUGUUACUUUGAAAAAAUUAGAGUGUUUAAAGCAAGCUAACGCUUGAAUACAUUAGCAUGGAAUAAUGAAAUAGGACGUUCGAUCCUAUUUUGUUGGUUUCUAGGAUUGACGUAAUGAUUAAUAGGGAUAGUUGGGGGCAUUAGUAUUCAAUUGUCAGAGGUGAAAUUCUUGGAUUUAUUGAAGACUAACUACUGCGAAAGCAUUUGCCAAGGAUGUUUUCAUUAAUCAAGAACAAAGUUAGGGGAUCGAAGACGAUCAGAUACCGUCGUAGUCUUAACCAUAAACUAUGCCGACUAGGGAUCGGAUGAUGUUAUUUUUAAUGACUCAUUCGGCGCCUUACGGGAAACCAAAGUGUUUGGGUUC
rnacentral:rRNA from 1 species